ACGCGGAGAUUCGCGAAAACGUGCUCGGAGGCGACGCCCAGCGCACGACGAAACGCCGCCGUGCUUCAAGAGAGUUACCUUAAUUAUUUUAAGGAAAGGCAGAGAUAAUUGCAUUUAUAUUGCAUCGACGCUGCAGAAUGCUACAAGAAAGGUGUGAAUUCAGUCCUCUGGCACCCGUACAUUUUUAUUCAGUACCCUCCUCUAAAGCUGUAGUCUUAAUAUUUCAGGACUAUUUAAAAGCUGUAAAAAUAGUUGUGAGAGACAUUCACAAUUGGCAAACUUCUUACUUGAAAGCAUGUGGCAACUGUACCAUUUAUGCAGCACCCUGGCCUACUCAUACUUAAAGAAUUACAGUAUUAUCUAUUUUAUAUGAAGUUUUACGUUCAUAUACUCAUUAUUUUAUUAAUUAGCCUAUUGAUGUAGUAUGUUCCCUUCCAUGAUUCUACUUUUAACUUGUCUAGGAGUCAAACACUUCAUUAUAUGUGUACCUCUGUAUGCUAUAACAACAAAGCCAAACUGAAUUGAAUAAAGUGAUGGCAAUCCAAACAGGCAGAAAGCAGUCGCCUCGGGUCCUUUGGAUGACCGUCCUUUUCACGUCACUCUGGCUUCUGCACUCGGCAGCUGCGAUGACACAUGAUGGAAGCAGCGUCCUCCACAUCCCGAACGCCGGGGAAGAGGCUGUAUUUAGAAGGAAAUCCCAGCCAAUGCCGAGUGCCUCGUUAGGGAGCGAGGCUUCACUUCUGGGACGUCCUUGAGUACGCCACGCCUCCAUGGAAGCUGGUGGCAGAUUGAGCAAUUACACCAGCUAAUGUCAAUGGAAGGUAGCCUUGGACGGCGAAAGACAAUGAAGUGACACGAAUACAAGAGAGGAAAUAAGCGGGAGCUGAAAGAGGAGAUCCCAUGCAGGGCGGCCAAUCAGGGGGCUGAGAGCAUCAGUCCAUGGAGGACCAGCUUAGAGCAUCCGCCAAGCUGGCAGGCGAGGAUCCCUGCAGCCCAGAAACCCUCCAUCUCUUUGCAAAGCGUCCACCAGCCUGGGAUGUGGAAGGGACCACCAGACUGCCACUUCCGUGCAGCGUAUAGGGAAUCAGCAAUUUCGUCAGAGCUGCGUGCACAUGAGCAGAACCCUAAGGCUGUUUAGACAUACUCAGGCCUCUUUCUGGGAGCAGGAGCCAUAUGCAAAUACAGGGGAGAGAGAGAGAGACAGGCACCUGCACUUAUGCUUGAACACUUUGUAUUGCACAAUUUGUAUUUUACAACCAGCGUGUUCCGUGCCUUCUACCUUGUGCUUUCUAAGACUUCAUGUCCACCACAACCCUGCAUUAGACAAGCAGUAACGGGAUACGGAUGGAUGGAUGGAUGGAUGGAUGGAUGGAUGGAUGGAUGGAUGGAUGGAUGGAUGGUCAUCCUGCCCAUACAUAGACAAAGUAUCCAUGGCAAGAUUUGUCUGUAUCCAUGGUAAAAUAUUUUGACAGAGUAAAAGAGAGAAAACUAUGCAGUUACACUUUUAAAUAUAAUAUCUAUGUGAAUAGCCUGCAUGUUGAUCAAAAUAUUAAGAAUUCACCAUAGUGUUGACCCCUGGGAUGGAUGGAUGGAUGGAUGGAUGGAUGGAUGCAUGGAUGGAUGGAUGGAUGGAUGACAUCACGGUGUGAAUGUUUACUAAGAAAAGCAUACAGCACAUUUUGGCUCUCACACCAAUUGCCAGCAUCACAGGAGCAAAUCAACAGGUGGAUUAAACCACUGAUUUGAACAAGCAAAACACAAUAUUUUGGACAGCUAACAGCAGGCAGAUGUGAUCGGAUUAAUAAAAUAAACUACCGCUCACCAGAAUUGAUGUACAAAGACUGUCAUGUAGCACAUCUUAUUCAACACUUAACAUAAACCAACCUGUGGGGUCUGCGAUGAUAUUUUUACGUGAGAAGCA